ACACAUGCAAGUCGAGGGGAAACGGCAUCAAGCGCUUGCGCCUGAUGGACGUCGACCGGCGCACGGGUGAGUAACGCGUAUCCAACCUGCCCCACACUGAGGGAUAACCCGCAGAAAUGUGGACUAAUACCUUAUAUUUUCCACCAAGGGCAUCGUCGAUGGAACAAAGAUUUAUCGGUAUGGGAUGGGGAUGCGUCCGAUUAGGUUGUUGGCGAGGUAACGGCCCACCAAGCCUUCGAUCGGUAGGGGUUCUGAGAGGAAGGUCCCCCACAUAGGAACUGAGACACGGUCCUAACUCCUACGGGAGGCAGCAGUGAGGAAUAUUGGUCAAUGGGCGAUAGCCUGAACCAGCCAAGUAGCGUGCAGGAAGACGGCCCUAUGGGUUGUAAACUGCUUUUAUGCGGGGAUAAAGGAGUCCACGUGUGGAUUUUUGCAGGUACCGCAUGAAUAAGGACCGGCUAAUUCCGUGCCAGCAGCCGCGGUAAUACGGAAGGUCCGGGCGUUAUCCGGAUUUAUUGGGUUUAAAGGGAGCGUAGGCCGCGUUUUAAGCGUGUUGUGAAAUGUAGACGCCCAACGUCUGCAUCGCAGCGCGAACUGGGACGCUUGAGUACGCGCAACGUUGGCGGAAUUCGUCGUGUAGCGGUGAAAUGCUUAGAUAUGACGAGGAACUCCGAUUGCGAAGGCAGCUGACGGGAGCGGCACUGACGCUUAAGCUCGAAGGUGCGGGUAUCAAACAGGAUUAGAUACCCUGGUAGUCCGCACAGUAAACGAUGGAUGCCCGCUGUGUGCCAUUUAUGGUACGCGGCUAAGCGAAAGCGUUAAGCAUCCCACCUGGGGAGUACGCCGGCAACGGUGAAACUCAAAGGAAUUGACGGGGGCCCGCACAAGCGGAGGAACAUGUGGUU
rnacentral:rRNA from 1 species